rnacentral:sRNA from 1 species
GAUUGGGCCUACAUGGCGUACCUACGGCCAAAAAUUUGCGAAGUGUAAUAAAAUUUCAAAUCU